AUCCGACAUAGUGGUAUCCUGAGUAACGCGGAGCACGAGGAAUUCUGCGCGAAUCUGCCGGGACCAUCCGGUAAGGCUAAAUACUCCCAUGAGACCGAUAGUGAACCAGUACCGUGAGGGAAAGGUGAAAAGCACUUCGACGAGAAGAGUGAAAGAGUUCCUGAAACCAUUCGCCUACAAGCGGUCGGAGCCGGUCAAUCCGGUGACGGCGUGCCUUUUGCAUAAUGAACCUACGAGUUACCAUCACCGGCGAGGUUAAGGCCCAUUAGAGCCCGAGCCGCAGUGAAAGCGAGCCUGAAGAGGGCGAAUUAGUCGGUGGGGGUAGACGCGAAACCAAGUGAUCUACACAUGGCCAGGGUGAAGUUCCGGUAACACGGAAUGGAGGCCCGCACCAAUAAGCGUUGAAAAGCUUCUGGAUGAGCCGAGUGUAGGAGUGAAAGGCCAAUCAAACUUGGAGAUAGCUCGUACUCCCCGAAAGGCAUUUAGGUGCCGCGUGUAUUGAUCCUCAUGAGAGGUAGAGCGACCGAUAGGUCAAGAGGGCUUCACCGCCUAUCGAGACCUGACGAACUCCGAAUGCUCAUGGGCAGCAGAUAUGCAGUAAGGGGGCGGGUGCUAAGGUCCGUCCCCGAGAGGAGAAGAAUCCAGACCGUCGUCUAAGGUCCCGGAAUUCUGCCUGAGUUAGUCUAACGAAGUCUGGUCCCCGUGACAGCUAGGAUGUUGGCUUGGAAGCAGCCAUUCAUUCAAAGAGUGCGUAACAGCUCACUAGUCGAGGGUCCGGGCAUGGAUAAUAAUCGGGUAUAAGGCAGAUACCGAAGGCACGGGAUAGAAAUAAUAAAAGUAUCGGUAGGGGAGCAUUCCGUAUGUGUCGAAUGGUGAAGGUGACUGAUCCUGGAGCGUACGGAAAAGCAAAUGUAGGUAUAAGUAACGAUAAGAGGGGUAAGAUUCCCCUCCGCCGCAAGACUAAGGUUUCCCGGGCAAUGUCAAUCAUCCCGGGGUAAGUCGGGUCCUAAGGCUCAGCCGAACGGCGAGGCCGAUGGCAGAAACGGUUAAUAUUCCGUUACUGCCGCACGGAGCGAUGUGGAGACGUAGCAGUGACACCGCCGCGGGGAAACGGAAUUUCCCGUUGAAGGGCGUAGGCGUAGAGGAGAUCAGGCAAAUCCGUUCUCCGAGCCGACCCUGAAAGUAUGGCCUCUCCUCCGGGAGGAGCCAAUAGUGCGGGUAAUCAGACUACCUAGAAAAUCCGCUAAGCACUGAUCCGUGCGGCACCCGUACCGCAAACGGACACACGUAGUCGCGUAGAAUAUACUGAGGCGUUGAGAGAUUCAUGGUUAAGGAACUAGGCAAAUUAACCCCGUAACUUCGGGAUAAGGGGUCCUCUCCUCCGGGAGAGGCGCAGAGAAUAGGUCCAGGCAACUGUUUAACAAAAACACAGGGCUGUGCGAACUCGAGAGAUGAAGUAUACAGCCUGACACCUGCCCGGUGCCGGAAGGUUAAGAGGAGAGCUCAUCCGUAAGGAGAAGGUUUGAAUUGAAGCCCCGGUAAACGGCGGCCGUAACUAUAACGGUCCUAAGGUAGCGAAAUUCCUUGUCGGGU
rnacentral:rRNA from 1 species